GACGAACGCUGGCGGCGUGCUUAACACAUGCAAGUCGAACGGAAAGGCCUGCUUUCCCUUGUGGAUUGCGGGUACUCGAGUGGCGAACGGGUGAGUAACACGUGAGUGAUCUGCCCCCAACUUGGGUAUAAGCCUGGGAAACUGGGUCUAAUUCCCGAUAGGACUGCAGGGUGGUGCCUGUGGUGGAAAACGAUUUUCUAGUGGUUGGGGAUGAGCUCGCGGCCUAUCAGCUUGUUGGUGGGGUAAUGGCCUACCAAGGCGGCGACGGGUAGCCGGCCUGAGAGGGUGGACGGCCACAUUGGGACUGAGAUACGGCCCAGACUCCUACGGGAGGCAACAGUGGGGAAUAUUGCACAAUGGGCGGAAGCCUGAUGCAGCGACGCCGCGUGGGGGAUGACGGCCUUCGGGUGGUAAACUCCUUUCGACCGCGAGGAAGCCACCUGGUUGGAAGGGUGGUGACGGUAGUGGUAGAAGAAGCACCGGCUAACUACGUG
rnacentral:rRNA from 1 species